GACGAACGCUGGCGGCGUGCCUAAUACAUGCAAGUCGAACGAACCGCCGCUAAGUUCUCUCAUUUGACGAAGGCGGGGGGCGAACGGGUGAGUAGUACGUAAGCAACCUAUCUGACAGUGGGAAAUAAGAGACGGAAAGGACAGCAAAGACUGAUAAGUACAAGGGCACAGAUGGAUCGUGAAGGAAAGCUGGCGCAACCUUUCGAGAAGAAAUUGAGCCGCGUUGGAUUAGCUAGUUGGUAAGGGAACGGCUUACCAAGGCUAUGAUGCAUAGCCGACCUGAGAGGGUGAUCGGCCACACUGGAACUGAGACACGGUCCAGACUCCUACGGGAGGCAGCAGUAGGGAAUCUUCCGCAAUGGGCGAAAGCCUGACGGAGCAACGCCGCGUGAGUGAUGAAGGUCUUCGGAUCGUAAAGCUCUGUUAUUAGGGAAGAACAGCCGUGAGAGUAACUGUGCUGAGUGUGACGGUAUCUAAUCAGAAAGCCACGGCUAACUACGUG
rnacentral:rRNA from 1 species